CCUGUUUUUCUUUAGUCCAAAUACAAUUCUCCGAACGGAGUCAUAGGACAUAGCUGAAUCAAUGAAAUAAAACUUCAACUUAUUUUUCUUCAGUUACUGCCAAAAAAUAGAUUACUAGAUACAUUAACUGCACAAACAUGUAUAACAUGUAUCUAAAACAUAACUUUUAUAUUUGUUUCGUAUGUUGUUAUAGAUAAAACUAAAACAAAUUGAGAUACAUAAUUAAUCAGAACUAUAUAAACUCAGAUACAAGAUAAGCAAAAAGUAUCAUUAGCAUUAAAAAUGUAUCUCGAUCUUAUUACCAUAAGGACAAAAAAUUACUGUAAGACAAUAAUGAACCAGACGUUAGAUACAAAAUUGAAUUAACGUAGAGAUAAUUAACAACAACUGAUACAUAAAAAAUAUAUCAUACCUUUUCUUGUACGAUUUUUUGGAAUAGAAAUUGUAACGAGCCUCAAUUUUUUUUCGAUUUCGUUGAUUUUCAGUUCUUCAACAAUUGUCGAAAUUAGUGUUUUGAAAGCUAUAUUUUCGCUGAUCACGAUUCCAUCGUUCUUAUAGCCAACAUAGUUAAUUUCGUUAACCCAAACACCGAAAUGACAUAGCACCACUGAAAUUUUCGUUUAGAAUACACAAACAAAAGUAACAAAUUAAAAAAAAAAAAAAAAACAUGAUCAAUUGAUUGUUUUGAAAAAGCCGUAUGAAGUUUUUGAAACUUCAAAACAAAUUAUGAAAAAGGUUUGGCUUAGAAUGGUAGAAUAACAAACUAAUUACCAUAAAUCAUAGAAUUUUAUUUUGAUUUUCACCAUAAUUAGUUAGCUUAAUUGCUGUUUUAAUGCUACAUUAUUUGUUACAUCCAUUAAAAAGUGUUAGUUAGUUUAAUUGAACUAUGUAUCCGUAGUAUGUAUCUAAGUUAAUAAACAUGUAUCAUCAACGGUCAAAAGUUGAGAUUUUAUAAGAUUUUGAAAAUAGUUAAAAUUUUUAAUAAAUACUAGUAAGCAUGUUGUUAUAUAUGUAAUUUUUACUUAAAAUGAAUCAAUAACCUGACCAGACUCAAUCCAGUUUGACAUUCUCAAAUUCAACCAAAUUCAUCCAUUUUACAUCUUAAGCUGAAACUAUAUACUUGAUUUCUUUCCUAUGAUUACAAGAAAAUGUUGCUAUAGAUUGAAAGAAAGAGGGAUUUACAUCAAAUGAAUUUUUUUAAAAUAUAAAUACAUAGCCUUUAAAUAUAAAUACAUAGUCUAGAUAAAAGUUACUUGAUUCAUGAUUAUUGCACUAGAUCCGUCCAUGUCAGUGCAUCCACAAGUAAGAAGAUUGAGAAAACUAGCCUAAUUACAAAUUGUGUGUUAAAAAUCGAAAGCUGGAGAAAAAGAUGUUGUUUUAUGCUUUCAUCUUGUAGGGGCCGGCACUAAAACUUCGAUGAUGAAUUCGACGGAAUUCAAUAACUUUAGAUUAAAUUUCAUAUUUGCAUUUAACAUUUUUCUUAUUACUAGUCUAUGAUAACGUGCAUUGCACGUUUAUCUCAAAUGAUUUAAUAAAAAUUUUAAAUUCUCAAUGAUAGACAGUUUAAAACUUCUCAAUUAAUAAUUGUAAAUACCUAAUAGGUUUCAUUGCAUUUUUUAACACUUAAUUGCAAACAUUUAAGAGACUUCGUCAUGUUUUCCUCUCUCAUUUAUGUAUAUAAAUAACUUGGAACCAAUCUCCAUAGAAUCUAUGCUCCCAAAAGUUUUAGAAUAUUCUUUUGAAAUAUAUUAAAAAAAUUACUUUAGCAAUAGCAGAAACCUAGCACUAUGAAUGCAGAUGAUUGAAAAAUUAGGGAAAAAUUAUUAGAACUGCAGCUUUAAUUUCCUUAUUAUAUUUUCUAUGAAUAACUUUUAUUAGCUUUCUUAAAUUUUUGCACCUAACGACAUACAUCGUCGUCCAAUAAUAUGUGUUACAUACAAACAAAACAAAAAAAUUUACAAGUGUUUCUAAUACAAUAAAAAUCAAAAAAAAUAGAGCAAAAGAUUUAAAAAAAAAAGAAUAUAAAAUAAAAUAAAGAUUCAAAAGUUACAAACCCCAUGACUACGAAUACGUAACAAUCCAUAAAUUUGUUAUGAGGCUAACUUGUAUUGGGAGUAAGUUGCUGUAAAUACACACCUACAACAUCAAGGUAUGAUCCAACAUGCCCGUGAAUUUAACAAUAGCCAAGUUGAUCAUCACAAGAUGAAAAGAUCCUCCCCAACAGUCAACAACACCACGUUCAGACUCAAAGGGUCCAUAACUUUUCACAUAGCUCACAACCAAUUUUUUCUCAAAACGUCGCAAACUCCAUGUUGUUCUUGUCAAAUGUUCCAUUAGUGUUUUGUCAAAAGCCACCUGAAAAAUACAAUCAAAUCAAAUAAUGUUCAACCUAGGUUCACUACUAAAAGAAGAAAAAAUAAAAAUCAAACAUAUAUUCUGUAUAUAAACAAAAAAUUCUACAUAAAUUAAAUAAAUUUAGUUUUUAGUUGGGAGAAAAGAAGCAAAUCAAAAGAUGAGGUAUUACGUGAGAAAAAUCAAGAAAGAACGUACAAAAAAUAUGAAAUAUAUAGUUUUGAUAUUUAAUUCAAAUAAGAAAAGAAAUUGUAUAAAAUAAAAGUUUAAGUUGAUUGAAAUCCUAAAAU
rnacentral:lncRNA from 1 species